rnacentral:rRNA from 1 species
UGCGACAGCUAUUUGGUGGACGUAAUCGUCAAAAAGACGUGCAUAAGUAUAGCAAUAUACUGUGUAUCAACUAUGUUGAAUAAAGUUCUGAAUAGAUAAUUGAUAAUGACAAAUAUUUAUUCAUAUGUCUUGACCAAUGCUUGUGCCAGCAGUCGCGGCAACACAAGUAAGACUAGUGUUAUUCAUCUUUAUUAGGUUUAAAGGGUACCUAGACGGCAUUUUUCACUUCUAAAGGGAAAAAAUUUGCUAGAGUUUUAUGUGAGAGGUAAAUAUCAGGGCUAUUGGUGUAAGGAUGAAAUCUUUUGAUACUGAUAGAACGUAUAACGGCGAAGACAACCCUCUAUGUACAAACUGACGUUGAGGGACGAAGGCUUGGGGAGCGAAUAGGAUUAGAUACCCUAGUAGUCCAGGCAGAAAAUUAUGAAUGUUAUAUAUUAAGUGAAAAAUUGGUGUAUAAAUGAAAGUGUAAGCAUUCCACCUCAAGAGUAAUGUGGCAACACGGGAACUGAAAUCAUUAGACCGUUUCUGAAACCAGUAGUGAAGUAUGUUAUUUAAUUCGAUAACCCUCGAAAAACCUUACCACAAUUUGAAUGAUAUUUGAUGUGCUUUGCACAUCAAAUAUUACAAGCGUUGCACGGCUGUCUAAAGCUAAUGUCGUGAGACUUUGGUUAGCUCCAUUAAAUUAGCGUGAUCCCUUACUUUAUUUACUAAUAAUAAGGUAGUCAACCAUUGUAUUGGAUUUGAUAAUAGGGAAGAAGACAAGUCAUCAUGACCUAUAUGUGGC